rnacentral:rRNA from 1 species
UACGUAGGGUGCGAGCGUUGUCCGGAAUUAUUGGGCGUAAAGGGCUCGUAGGCGGUUUGUCGCGUCGGGAGUGAAAACCAGGUGCUUAACACCUGGCUUGCUUUCGAUACGGGCAGACUAGAGGUAUUCAGGGGAGAACGGAAUUCCUGGUGUAGCGGUGAAAUGCGCAGAUAUCAGGAGGAACACCGGUGGCGAAGGCGGUUCUCUGGGAAUGACCUGACGCUGAUGCGCGAAAGCUAGGGGAGCAAACAGG